GAAAUGCGAUAAGUAGUGUGAAUUGCAGAAUUCAGUGAAUCAUCGAAUCUUUGAACGCACAUUGCGCCCUUUGGUAUUCCAAAGGGCAUGCCUGUUCGAGCGUCAUUUGUACCCUCAAGCUCUGCUUGGUGUUGGGCGUCUUUGUCUUCCCAGAAGACUCGCCUUAAAGUCAUUGGCAGCCGGCCUACUGGUUUCGGAGCGCAGCACAAGUCGCGCUCUCUUCCAGCCAAGGUCAGCGUCCACAAAGCCUUUUUUUCAACUUUUGACCUCGGAUCAGGUAGGGAUACCCGCUGAACUUAA
rnacentral:misc_RNA from 1 species